rnacentral:lncRNA from 13 species
UGAGUAUUGAGAGGUGGUGUUUGCUUGUGUUGUCUUUUAAUGACAAGAUUCUUAGCUUUGAUAAAAUAUGGUAUGAGUUCAGUGAAGAUUAUACAUUAACUUAAUUUGUAACUCAAUUUAAUGACAGUUGACCCUUGAACAACACGGGUUUGAACUUCACGGGUCCACUUAUACACAGAUUUUUUUCCAUCUUUCCUGACACCCCUGAGACAGCAAGACCAGCUCCUCCUCUUCCUCAGCCUGCUCAACAUGAAGAUGACUAGGAUGAAGACCUUGAUGAUGAUCCACUUCCUUUCACUUAAUGAACAAUGCAGGACCUCGGCUGAGCUUCUACGUCUCUGUGCUGAUGGUUUUUCAUUUAUCAAAUAAAGAUUCAAGCAGUACCUCAUAGAGAUUUUGCCAAAUUGAUUAAUAAAAUCAG